GGUCCUGACUCCGAUGCUCUAGAUUACGCGAAGAACUUACCAACCCUUGACAUCCUAGGACAACUCCAGAGAUGGAGCCUUCCUUCGGGACCUAGUGACAGGUGCUGCAUGGCUGUCGUCAGCUCGUGUCGUGAGAUGUUCGGUUAAGUCCGGCAACGAGCGCAACCCACAUCCUUAGUUGCCAGCAGUUCGGCUGGGCACUCUAGGGAAACUGCCCGUGAUAAGCGGGAGGAAGGUGUGGAUGACGUCAAGUCCUCAUGGCCCUUACGGGUUGGGCUACACACGUGCUACAAUGGCAGUGACAAUGGGUUAAUCCCAAAAAACUGUCUCAGUUCGGAUUGUUCUCUGCAACUCGAGAGCAUGAAGUCGGAAUCGCUAGUAAUCGCGUAACAGCAUGACGCGGUGAAUACGUUCCCGGGUCUUGUA
rnacentral:rRNA from 1 species